UUUUUUUUCUCGCGGCGGACGGGUGAGUAAUGCCUAGGAAAUUGCCCUGAUGUGGGGGAUAACCAUUGGAAACGAUGGCUAAUACCGCAUGAUGCCUACGGGCCAAAGAGGGGGACCUUCGGGCCUCUCGCGUCAGGAUAUGCCUAGGUGGGAUUAGCUAGUUGGUGAGGUAAGGGCUCACCAAGGCGACGAUCCCUAGCUGGUCUGAGAGGAUGAUCAGCCACACUGGAACUGAGACACGGUCCAGACUCCUACGGGAGGCAGCAGUGGGGAAUAUUGCACAAUGGGCGCAAGCCUGAUGCAGCCAUGCCGCGUGUGUGAAGAAGGCCUUCGGGUUGUAAAGCACUUUCAGUCGUGAGGAAGGUAGUGUAGUUAAUAGCUGCAUUAUUUGACGUUAGCGACAGAAGAAGCACCGGCUAACUCCGUGCCAGCAGCCGCGGUAAUACGGAGGGUGCGAGCGUUAAUCGGAAUUACUGGGCGUAAAGCGCAUGCAGGUGGUUUGUUAAGUCAGAUGUGAAAGCCCGGGGCUCAACCUCGGAAUUGCAUUUGAAACUGGCAGACUACAGUACUGUAGAGGGGGGUAGAAUUUCACGUGUAGCGGUGAAAUGCGUAGAGAUCUGAAAGAAUAUCUGUGGCGAAUGCGCUCCCCCCGCACUAUACUGACACUCAGAUACGAAAGCGUGGGGAGCCCACACGGAUUAGAUACCCUUGUAGUCCACUCCGUAAACUAUCUCUACUUCGAGGUUGUCUGCCUCCCCCCAUGGCUCUCUGAUCUAACGCUUUAAAUAGACCUCCUGAGGAGUAUCGCCGCGAUAUCAAAUCUCAACUUGAUUUAACACCGGCCUGCACUAGCGGUGCAGCAUUUGGUAUCAAUUCUAUGCACCGCCCCUAUAUUACCCCUCUUGCACGGCAGUAAACUGUCCAUCUUCGUUUGGUGCCUUCAAUAA
rnacentral:rRNA from 1 species